rnacentral:rRNA from 1 species
CCCUUAGAUGUCCUGGGCCGCACGCGCGCUACACUGAUGCAUGCAACGAGUUUAUAACCUUGGCCUGAAAGGUCUGGGUAAUCUUUUGAACGUGCAUCGUGAUAGGGAUAGAUUAUUGCAAUUGUUAAUCUUGAACGAGGAAUUCCUAGUAAACGCGAGUCAUCAGCUCGCAUUGAUUACGUCCCUGCCCUUUGUACACACCGCCCGUCGCUGCUACCGAUUGAGUGGUCCGGUGAAUUAUUCGGACCGGUGGACUGUGGGGAAACCCGCGGCCUGCUGGGAAGUCUUGUGAACCUUAUCACUUAGAGGAAGCAGAAGUCGUAACA